GUACUUGCUUCAGCGGCACAUAUACUAAAAUUGGAACGAUACAGAGAAGAUUAUCAUGGCCCCUGCACAGGGAUGACAUGCAAAUUCAUGAAGCGUUCCAUAUUUAA